GUCUGCUUGACGGGGUGCCGGUGAAUUCCGGCUGAGAUAGCGCAGGACGUGCUCUUUUGAGAGUGCCAAGCGCUGGUCCCGCUGAACCUGAUCCGGCUAAUGCGCUGUUUGGAAAAGCGCGGGUACCGGCGUAGGGAUCAAGCGAUGGCGCCGG
rnacentral:ncRNA from 1 species